rnacentral:rRNA from 1 species
ACAGCGGAGGGAUCAUUAC